rnacentral:tRNA from 1 species
UAGAUCUUAAAUGAGUUUAAUUGCAAAUUAAAUUUAGCUUAAAGCCAGAUCU